rnacentral:rRNA from 1 species
UUUCAAAGUGAUUUUAUGUACAUGCCUACAACAUACCCAUUAUAACUCCACAAUUAAGCAUGCUCAAGAUAGAGUAGUACUAGGAUGGGGGACUGCCUGGGAAGUCCUAGUGUUUUACAUA